AGAGUUUGAUCCUGGCUCAGAACGAACGCUGGCGGCGUGCUUAACACAUGCAAGUCGAACGGGAUUCGGAGCUUGCUCCGAUGAGAGUGGCGCACGGGUGAGUAACGCGUGGAUAACCUGCCCUGGUAUCCGGAAUAACAUCUCGAAAGGGGUGCUAAUACCGGAUAAGCCUACGGGGUCUUCGGACUCUGCAGGAAAAGGUGGCCUCUAUUUAUAAGCUACCGUAUCAGGAUGGGUCCGCGUACCAUUAGCUAGUUGGUGGGGUAAUGGCCUACCAAGGCGACGAUGGUUAGCUGGUCUGAGAGGAUGAUCAGCCACACUGGAACUGAGACACGGUCCAGACUCCUACGGGAGGCAGCAGUGGGGAAUUUUGCGCAAGGGGGGAAACCCUGACGCAGCAACGCCGCGUGAGUGAUGAAGGCUUUCGGGUCGUAAAGCUCUGUCAGUAGGGAAGAAAUGAAAACGGUUAAUACCCGUUUUUCUUGACGGUACCUACAAAGGAAGCACCGGCUAACUCCGUGCCAGCAGCCGCGGUAAUAC
rnacentral:rRNA from 1 species